rnacentral:rRNA from 1 species
AUUUAGUUUUCUUAUAUAUGUUUUUUGUCUUUGGUUUUAUUACCUUUUGCAUCAUGAUCCGUCGAUUAUUUUUAGUUAGCUAAUUUGUCCGAAGAGUUACGAUUUUGGUGUUACUUGUUUUUAGAACUAAGUGGUCAGUGGGUAACUUAUUAAUUAAAGUAGUGCCAGGUAGUGAAAAAUUAUUCGUGUUUCUUGAUAUCUGAUAGGAAACGUGUAUUUCUUUUUAGGCUAGUUGUUAUGAUAUGAUUAGUCAUUUGAGAGACUUUAUUUAUUUUUUUAGUUCUUGGUUUAGAAGUCACCUUGAUUUGUAAGUUUGUUAAAAAAAUAAUUGUUCUUUUUCUGUCUUCAUUUUAUUCGUUUCUUUAUUUAAUUUUUUUUGUUAUGAUGGGAUAAGUAAAAUAUAAUAUUAGCCUCCUUUCUUCUCAGAGGAUGUCGGUCUGUUUAUUAAAAACAUUUCCAUUUUGAAUUUUAAAUGGUAGUUACCUGCCCAAUGUUUUAUUAUUAAUGGCCGCAGUAUAUUGACUGUGCGAAGGUAGCAUAAUUAGUUGCCUCAUAAUUGGAGGAUUGUUUGAAAGGUUUGACCAGAUUUCGGUUAAGAUGGUGGCUUGUUUUGAAAUUGAUUUUAAGGUGCUGAAUCCUUGAUUAUUAAAUUAGACGGAAAGACCCCGAGAUCUUUAUACCAGUCGUAUUUAUUUGGGGUAAAGGUAAAUUAUUUAUUUACUUUUAGAUCCUUAUUGAUUUGUGUAUAUCAAUAGGGUUACAGGUUUAGUUACCUCGGGGAUAACUGUGUAAGAAAUAAUUAGAGAUCUUAUCGAUUUAUUUAAUUGCCACCUCGAUGUUGACUUGGAGAUUUAUGUAGGCGCAGUAGUUUACGUGGAAGGUCUGUUCGACCAAUUAUUCUCCUCAUGAGUUGAGUUAAGACCGGCGUGAGCCAGGUCGGUUCUUAUCUAUUUUUCAGUUUAUUUAGUACGAAAGGAAUAAUAUUCUUUUAUGU